GCUGGGCAUGGUGGUCCAUGCCUGUAAUCCCAGCUACUUGGGAAGCUGAGACAGGAGAAUUACUUGAGUCCAGGUGGUGGAAGUUGCAGUGAGCUGAGAUUGUGCCACUGCACUCCAGCCUGGGUGACAGAGUGAGACUCUGUCUUAA
rnacentral:SRP_RNA from 1 species